GGGAGCCAGGGAGUACUUUGAAUCCUGCAAUCAUUAAAACCAAUUCCACUUUUCCUGCCCCUGCCCACCUCCUGAUAUGUGUGUGAAACAAUCUUUACAGCUACACAGCCAUCAGAUGGUAUCGACCCAGCGGUGGAAAUUGCUAUUGACUGCUGCUGGUGCUGCUCUCUGCACUUCCGUAGCUUUUAAAGCGACACUAUUCAGAUCCACUGAUCAGAAAUCUUCUGCAAUUGUAGCAUCAAAACAAGACGAAUCUUCUACUCUUGUGAGCGUGAAACCCAUGUUCCUAGAUGGACUGUGGGACGUUGGUUCCUUGUUUUAAGGGACACCUCUAACACUGCGUUAUGAAUUCUUGCUCAACUGCACUGGGUUCCAAAGAAAAAGCAGGAAAUAAUGAUAUUUGCCUUUUUAAUGCGACCAUUGCAGUGCACAGUGAAGGCCCCUCUGCUGCCUACAGUGAAGAUGUGGCAGAGGCUGCUGAGGACAUCAUGUCUCACACUGCCUUCUUCUGGACGGGCUGUGAAGGGGGAGCUGCCCAGGAGCUGUUUUCUUCUGGGGUUUUGCUCUGGGACUGACGGCGGCACAGCAAGCUCUACCUGCAGUCUGCAGUCCAUCGGUAGUUCAUCAGCCAAGCGCUGGUUGGACAUUGAUUCUCUCUAUGUUGUGUGGCUUUGCUGGGCUAUGAAAAUAGCCUCAAUGUGUUCUGGUAAAUGACGCUUCUCUGAUCAAGGAAUAAAACAGAGUGCUACCUGCA
rnacentral:lncRNA from 1 species